rnacentral:lncRNA from 1 species
CCAUGAAUAAAUUUUCAUCCACAUAUAACUUCUCAUUUACAAAUGAAAAUUCAUCCAAUUUCAAUCAACCUUCAUCCAUAAUUUAUCAUCCACUUCAAACCCUAAUUCAUCCAAUUCAAUUUAAAUUGAUCAUCAUAAUUCGAUAUAAUGGUUGGUUCACACGCAACUUAAUUCGAAUGUUUUACAAAAUGAGGGCUAAUGACAAGUCGAGACGAGGUUGAAAAGCACCACAAUUUGACUAGCACUAGAUCUUCACUCCGGCAGUGCAUAUGGGUCGUCGAAUGCCUCUCCUUUCUCCCUGGAAGCAGAUGGCGGAUUGACAAGGUCUUCCAACGAUGACUUCACUUGGAGUUGAAAGUCGUCUGAACAGUGUCCACGUGAAGCAGUAUACUUGCAAUAUUGGAUGACGUCCUCUUCACAUUAGCUACAUUAGCUACACUCUCCGAGGCAAAACCUCCUCAAUUGAUUGCUUCAGCCACUCUUUAAAACUCACCUCCCGGUACUUUUUCCCAGCUAUAGUGGCUCUACUACUGAAAUUCAAUGAUCUAAUCUACCUAAACAUUCUAAUGUUCAAACUUUCCUUGCUAUGGUUCCAAUAAUCUCAACUUGAUAAUCCAUUCCUUGUAAUGACACAAUUUUUUUUUGCAAGGCUCUAAUUCAUAAGCGAUAUGCUUGUCAUUGCAAAGACAACUUGCGUGCGCCUUUGAUGUGCUCCAACCGGAUCUUAUGAAACAAUUUUCUGUAUUUGAUUCCACAUUGACGUCGAUGUGUGCUCCAGAUCCUCCUUCGCUUCUGGUCACAUUCAAUCACAAGUUGACUGGACGUAAAAUAUUGAUGCUUCAACUGCAAACAUUGACUAUAUCAAAUUAGAACAUCGAUUGCUUUCUUCCUUUAUGAUCCAAGAAGGCUGAUGAGGAAGAGAAUGUUGGAGCUCGUUGCUUGGCUUGGUGACACAGUUGAUCAUCACACUUCCACAGAUGUGAAGCUCCGAAGCCAGAGACUCCGAUUUCAGAAGUCUCAUCUGUAUAAUUGCGUCUCGUGAAACACUCCACCUCACAUAGAAUGUAGUUAGGUAGAAGGGAUCAGCUUGCUUUAACUCAAGAAGCAAUAACCAUUAAAAACCACAAGCUCGCAACCCAACCUAGGUAUCCGGGCUCUUCACAACCCCAGGGCUCGCAACCAGCACUGGGCUCUCUUCUUCUUCACCACCACCUCUUGAUAAAAUUAUCCAAAAACUGCACGAGAUUAAGUAACUCUUGUUUGAAAUCAUACCACAACAGCUGGAAUCAUACACGCAUACAAGAGCAGAAGAGAAAUCGUGUAUCAUGAAUAGAUUUAUGGAAUUUGUGAGGGUUCUGCAUAGAUUUUAGCUGCUAGGUCCGUGAAAAGGAGCCCAACUCCGAGCUCGUCUUCGUGGAAUUCCUAAAUCUUCAAAACGCUGGAUGAUAGAAUGUAUAAAUAAAGCCUUCUUCUCAUAGCCACUGAACUUUCAAAACCUUGGUCAUAAACUCCUUCCUACUGUAUUUCUUCACUUUUCAGGGAUAAUUCAACAUUCCAGCCUAUCGAGAUCUCUGACGUGCCGAUGGUAGCUAAUGGCAAGAAUUCGUAGCAAUGGUCGUUGGGCCGCAAUGGCCAAGAAGAAGAACCUAGUGGACGGUCGUCAACCCAACCACAUGAAAGAAGAAUUGCACAAAUUUGGAGUAUUUUUGUUAAUCUCCCACUGCAGCACUACCGCACCCCAGCGCCAACGCUCCAUUGCCAAACAACUAGUAGAACAAUGGUGCGAUUUCAGAUCACUGCUCUUGAACACCAACUCAAGAGAAAGGAAAAGGACGUUGACACUCCUCGAAAGUUCAAUGGUGCAACAACCACAGUCGGAAUAAUGCCGCCACAAUCCGCUUACGUUGGAGGUUUCUAACAACGUAGAAAAAAGAACAAAAGAAAAUACACUCAACACAUACACCACACGGACGCAACAACGCACCAACGACCUCGCAAAAACACCGUAGACAGGAAAAAACAAGAACAACCACCGGCUGCCUAUCCGUCAAUUCCAGAGCCCCAUCUGAGGUAUGUAGAAAAAAUUGAAGAAGAGUCCAAAUGAAUGCAGCUGGGGUCCAGAACUACCCAAAUCUCUGUGGUCCUCCAA